UUUUGCUUCGACGGCCGCUCUCCUUCAUAGCUAUUGACGCAUCGAACCAAUCCGUGCAAGACGAACAACUAUUGUGAUUUUAGCGUGCACCUUCAACAGAAAAGAAUCCGGUAAUUAGUUUCCUGUAACAAGUUAGAGGCUAAAUGAAAAGGCACAAAUAAGACAGCAGAGAGAACGUCUUUUUUUGCUGGGAACUUGAUUUUCUGGUGCACAUGCUGCUUUGUGCCUUUUCUUUUAGCUUCUGAUAAGUCAUCGGAAUCUAAUUCGUGGUUUCUUUUCUUGCUACUUGUUUCUGCUUCUUAUGUUUCACUCUUAAACCCUUCUCGUCUAAUCAAUGUUGGCAUUUCCAGAUACAAUGUUGGCAUUUCCAGAUACUCAGAUAUUGCAUUUUGAUCUUUACCAUUAAAGGCCAAUCUUUAAAGCUUCAAAAUGUUCUAGCCUAGGUUUCUAAGCUUAUGCUUUUUUGCAGAUAUUUCAUUUGGUUAGCAAUAUUUCUUUAGUUUUAUUGGGUUUUUUUCCUUCUAAUUUUUCAACAUUGAAUUCAAUUCUCUAGUUCUUUUGAGAGACUGCAAGGAUUGUAACAGGCACUAAAGAACACUGCUCGGGGGAAAACUCCAGACUACCUCGAACCUAUUGCAAUUCGAAUCGAAAAUGCUCGAGGAGAAGCUACGGCUGUGUGUCUUAUCCCUGAUCAUGUCCUGCUCUGGCAGUCGAGAAUUUGGACAAGUACGUUAAGAAAUUUGGCUUUCAAGUGGGAUUUGCUGAUAAUAUGUUGAAGAGAAGAAUUUUCUUGCCUACUUGGCUUACUCAACAGUGUCAUUACACUGAAACAAAAUAGCUUGGAAAUGGCUGUCGUGGUUGUGAGUCAAAGGGUGUUUUGCUGUAGCAACGUCUUUGCUGUCAUGGCUUCAGCCUGGUUUCUACAUUUACUUUUCUCUGUUUGAAUCAUUAUGGUUUAUGGUUUGCGAUUUAAAAUCGUCAAAACUUCAACCCUUCAUUAGUUUGGUUCGAAUUUAUAUGGUUUGGUCGAUUUUUCUUGUUAUGGAGUUGGUUUUAUGGGUUAUUUUUCU